rnacentral:rRNA from 1 species
GUCUAUCUCUACGCCUCGUUGAAUACACCAGUUCUCGUCAGAUCACUGAAGUUAAGCGACGUCGGGCGUGGUCAGUACUCGGAUGGGUGACCAUCAAUUGAUUUGCUGGAAUUCAUAAGAGAGGUGCC